GAGACCUUUGUUCCAGUAGUUAGCCGAACUACGGUUUGCUCUGACUCUCAUUCCAGAUGAGAUACGUAGGCAUAAGACGCGAUGUCUUAGCGAGCACACUCCUCUUUAACCCAUAGGUAGCCGAGCUACGAAGACUCUGAUUCUCAUAUUCAGAUGAGAUAUGUAUACAGUGGAUGCGACAUCCGUGUGAGUCAUUUUCUUUUGACCCCUCU
rnacentral:lncRNA from 1 species